UACAACGUAAAUGCACCACCCACUUUGA
rnacentral:piRNA from 1 species